CUUAGUUGAGCUGAGGGAAUAACGGCGCAGAGGGAAAGUCUCUCCGAAGCAGCAGGGCUGGGGGAGCCGCACACGGACUGACCGUGUGAAGGAGGGGUCGUGUCUGCUGCAGCCGUGUCUUCCAAGCUGACGGGCACAGAAGCGGGUUUGAGAGUUGUGCUCCGCGUAGGGGUCUGGGGGCUGCAUGCAGUUCUGCUGGGCUCAGUCAGAUCGGGCUCCAGACCGGGGAGGUCUGCCUCUGUGUCUUCUCAUUCCAGGACCUCCGUAAUUCCCCGACAGAUGCCCAAAGCUCGAGGGGAACAUCCUCGGCCAUCCUCUUUCGUUCUGUGAAGACGGAGGCCCCUGCUGUCCCUGGCCCUGCCAUGGCCCCGCACUGAUCACCAAUGCAGAUGGACCAAAAAGGGAAGACGGCGCAGCAGCCUGGAAAGAUCCAGAGUUCCUGACCUUGUCAUUAACCACCGUAGGGAAUCUGCAAUCCCUGAGUCCUGUCCAACUCUAACUCCUCAGCCAGAGGAUACAUUUCUCAGUGUUCAAGCCAGUUGGUGGCAGGACCUCAUUCUUCACCUCCAAGGUCUACCGGUACAUCUUGCCAGGAAAUCGACUCAAGAGCUUGCCAGAUCCUCUUGUUUUUAACCAAAGAAGACUUCCAGGAACUGUCUCCUUGGUGGGCUUCUCCCUCAUGAGGAGAGUCUGCCUCCG
rnacentral:lncRNA from 1 species